UACGAAGGGGGCUAGCGUUGCUCGGAAUCACUGGGCGUAAAGCGCGCGUAGGCGGUUUGUUAAGUGGGAUGUGAAAUCCCCGGGCUUAACCUGGGAAUUGCAUUUCAAACUGGCCGACUAGAGUACGGUAGAGGGAGGUAGAAUUUCCUGUGUAGCGGUGAAAUGCGUAGAUAUAGGAAGGAAUACCAGUGGCGAAGGCGGCCUCCUGGAUCGAUACUGACGCUGAGGCGCGAAAGCGUGGGGAGCAAACAGG
rnacentral:rRNA from 1 species